UACCAGCACCCCGAGUGGUCGGGACGAUUAUUGGGCCUAAAGCAUCCGUAGCCGGUCAUGCAAGUCUUCCGUUAAAUCCAGCCGCUCAACGGUUGGGCUGCGGAGGAUACUACGUGGCUAGGAGGCGGGAGAGGCAAGCGGUACUCAGUGGGUAGGGGGUAAAAUCCUUUGAUCCAUUGAAGACCACCAGUGGCGAAGGCGGCUUGCCAGAACGCGCUCGACGGUGAGGGAUGAAAGCUGGGGGAGCAAACCGGAUUAGAAACCCCUUGU
rnacentral:rRNA from 1 species